rnacentral:rRNA from 1 species
AGAGUUUGAUCAUGGCUCAGAGCGAACGUUAGCGGCGGGCUUAACACAUGCAAGUCGAGCGAGAAAAGGGGUUCGCCCCUGAGUAAAGCGGCAGACGGGUGAGUAACACGUAGGUAAUUUUCCCUUCAGCGGGGGACAACGUUUCGAAAGGAACGCUAAUACCGCAUACGUUUCUCGGGGCUCCGGCCCUGGGAAGGAAAGCUAGGCCGCAAGGCGGCACUGAAGGCGAAGCCUGCGUCGCAUCAGCUAGUUGGUGGGGUAACGGCCUACCAAGGCGAAGACGCGUAGCUGGUCUGAGAGGAUGAUCAGCCACACUGGGACUGAGACACGGCCCAGACUCCUACGGGAGGCAGCAGUGGGGAAUAUUGGACAAUGGGCGCAAGCCUGAUCCAGCCACGCCGCGUGAGUGAUGAAGGCCUUCGGGUCGUAAAGCUCUGUGGGGAGAGACGAACCGCCGGUGGGCAUAGCCAACGGCUGACGGUAUCUCCUUAGCAAGCACCGGGCUACUACUGUGCCAGCAGCCGCGGUAAUAC